rnacentral:tRNA from 1 species
GGGUAUGUGGUGAAAUUGGUAUACACGCUAGCUUCAGGUGCUAGUUCUCGCAAGAGAGUGAGAGUUCGAGUCUCUCUAUGCCCA